rnacentral:rRNA from 1 species
UGAGGAAUAUUGCGCAAUGGGGGCAACCCUGACGCAGCAACGCCGCGUGAGUGAGGAAGGUUUUCGGACCGUAAAGCUCUGUCGAGCGGGAAGAAAUGCAUGGUGGCUAAUAUCCAUCAUGCUUGACGGUACCGCUAAAGGAAGCACCGGCUAACUCCGUGCCAGCAGCCGCGGUAAUACGGGGGGUGCGAGCGUUGUUCGGAAUUAUUGGGCGUAAAGAGCGUGUAGGUGGCUGAAUAAGUCAGAUGUGAAAUCCCUGGGCUUAACCCAGGACGUGCAUUUGAAACUAUUCGGCUAGAGUAGGGGAGAGGAAAGUGGAAUUCCUGGUGUAGAGGUGAAAUUCGUAGAUAUCAGGAGGAACACCAGUGGCGAAGGCGACUUUCUGGCCCUAUACUGACGCUGAGACGCGAGAGCGUGGGUAGCGAACAG